UACGAAGGGGGCUAGCGUUGUUCGGAAUUACUGGGCGUGAAGCGUGCGCAGGCGGCUUCUCAAGUCAGGGGUGAAAGCCCAGAGCUCAACUCUGGAAUUGCCUUUGAGACUGAGUGGCUUGAGUACGAGAGAGGUGAGUGGAAUUCCCAGUGUAGAGGUGAAAUUCGUAGAUAUUGGGAAGAACACCGGUGGCGAAGGCGGCUCACUGGCUCGUAACUGACGCUCAUGCACGACAGCGUGGGGAUCAAACAGG
rnacentral:rRNA from 1 species